AUUUAAAGCUGAAUCAGAAAUUUUUAAGUGACCUUGUUAUUAUCUUUACUUGGAUCUUGUAGAGUUGCUCUUGACCUCAUUAAGGUUUAAUAAUUCAUCGAAAUUCCGUAACACCCAUCCCAAUGUUCGCAACUGUAAUAAAUCAUAGGUUGAGGUGCAAAGGUUAAGGUUAUUAAAUGUAACCUAUUUGUAAACAAGAUUCCGCGCUUAAAAUUUUGACAGGAAGACGUUCAGUUAAAAAUUAAAUACAGACAUUGAUCUUCAUUUGGCAAUUUCCUUUUCUACACAAAAUGAGCAAAGUUAGAUGUGUAUUUGUCGUUAGGAACAUACCACACCUGUCCUUGUGCUAGUUCUCUGAAAUAGGUAGAAGAAGCUUUAUCAGCAAUGGACAACUUACAGUCACCAAAGGUAUCAGGAUUAUAAUUUAGCACGCCAGAGGCUCGUUUCGUCAACAUAAGACUCAUCAGUGAAUCUCAUACGAAAACAUUCAUAAAGCCAACCAAGCACAAAGUUAAUGAACAUUGAGGAUCCCAAAUUCCAAACAGUUGUGCCAAAUACGACCAAGGCAACCUAGAAGUUAAGGUUGACAAUUAAUUGAGAAUAAAAAUGAUUUAGAGAUCAAGAUAAAUAAGAGAGGAAAAUAUUUAAUCAUAGUUAUAGUUUUUUUUAUAAAUAGUAGCCUCACUAAUCAUAAUGAAAAAGACAGUUUAUCACAAGCAUUACUACUGGUCAAUCGAUCUUGACCCAGUCAUGGCUAUAUAUAUAUCUGUUUUGCUAUCAACACUACUGAUAAUGGGAUUGUCUAUAUAACACUGUUUCUAAAAAGAACAUGUUGCUGAUAGAAGUACGUCUCCUAUUAGAAGUAACAUCAGAAGAUUACCUUACUACGCUUAAAGAAGUUUCAAGGAAUUAUAAUCAGUCAAAAGAAAUAUAGACCAACUGUUAUGAUGUCUGAAAACUACAAGAUCACUUAUUAAACACCUAUGAUGUGGAUAAAAACAGGGAAAAUACCAUAAUGUAUAAGACAGAACGAUAAAAGUAUGUGACUGAAUUCAGUCAUAGACUUAGAUUUAAAAUGUGUUUGUAUAUAUUGUAUAGAUAUUUCUACUAUACAAACCAUGUACUUUAUAGUGUCAAUGAAUAAUAGUGCCAGUGACUGAAUUCAGUCAAGAUUUUCGUUAUUGUUAACAUUAAUAUGUAUAUUUAGAAUCAACUUGGAAAUCUUUUCUAUAAUACUAUAAUCUAGUUUUGAAAAAAGGAAGAUGAUUCUUGAUGUUUGUAAAUUGACUGAAUUCAGUCAACAGUUUUCUUAUGCACUUCUGUAAAAACUGUAUAUACCCCUCAGAUCAUUUACUUGUUGUGUAGGAUAUUGCACACAUCCAACUGCUACCAAUCUCUAAUUUUUAAUGUAUUAUCAAUUGAAUAUUCAAAUAAAUUAAGAUAAAGGUUGUAGUGCAAGAUGACUGAAUUCAGUCAUGACUAUGGUGUCACAUAUGCAGUUUUUAUUCAUAUAGAUAACUGGGACAAACAGAUUUUCAUUGGAAAAAAAGUCACAAUUUAACAGUUUGAAUAAAACGUAUAUUCUCA